GGGAUACUAGCUCAGUUGGUAGAGCACCUGACUUUUAAUCAGGUUGUCGGGGGUUCAAAUCCCCCGUGUCUCA
rnacentral:tRNA from 2 species